rnacentral:rRNA from 1 species
AGAGUUUGAUCCUGGCUCAGAACGAACGCUGGCGGCGUGCCUAACACAUGCAAGUCGUACGAGAAAAUCCGCUUCGGCGGGUGAGUAGAGUGGCGCACGGGUGAGUAACGCGUGGAUAAUCUGCCUUUAAGCUGGGAAUAACUCACCGAAAGGUGGGCUAAUACCCGAUAAUGCUAUGGGACUUCGGUUUUAUAGCCAAAGAGAGCCUCUACAUGUAAGCCUUCACUUAAAGAUGAGUCCGCGUACCAUUAGCUAGUUGGUAGGGUAAUGGCCUACCAAGGCGACGAUGGCUAGGGGGUCUGAGAGGAUGGUCCCCCACACUGGUACUGAGACACGGACCAGACUCCUACGGGAGGCAGCAGUGAGGAAUAUUGGUCAAUGGGCGGAAGCCUGAACCAGCCAUGCCGCGUGCGGGAUGAAGGCCCUACGGGUUGUAAACCGCUUUUCCCCGGGAAGAAUAAGCCCCCCGCGGGGGGUGAUGCCGGUACCGGGGGAAUAAGGAUCGGCUAACUCCGUGCCAGCAGCCGCGGUAAUACGGAGGAUCCGAGCGUUAUCCGGAUUUACUGGGUUUAAAGGGUGCGUAGGCGGCCCUGCAAGUCAGCGGUGAAAUGUGGCGGCUCAACCGUUUCGCUGCCGCUGAUACUGUGGGGCUUGGAUGCGGUCGAGGCGGGUGGAAUUCGUGGUGUAGCGGUGAAAUGCAUAGAUAUCACGAGGAACGCCGAUAGCGAAGGCAGCUCGCCGGGCCGCGAUCGACGCUGAGGCACGAAAGCGUGGGGAUCAAACAGGUCUAGAUCCCCUGGUAGUCCCCGCGGUGAACGGUGAAGACUAGGAGUGGGAGGAGUAAGCUUUGCCGACUCGAAGAUAAGCGGUUAAGUAUUCGGCGUGUGAAGUGCGGCCGCAGGGUUGAAAAUCAAAGGAACUGAGGGGGGUCCGCACAAGUGGUGGCGCAUGUGGGUUAAUUUGAUGCCACGCGAAUACCUGUUGUUUGGGUUUGACAUGGUGAGUACCCGAUGGAAACAUUGGGGUACCCCGUAAGGGGAGGUGGGACACAGGUGGUGCAUGGCUAUCGUGAGCUCGUGCCGUGAGGUGUUGGGUUAAGUCCCGCAACGAGCGCAUCCCUCACCCUUAGUUGCCAUCAUUAAAUGGAGCACCCUAAGGGAGCUGCCACAGUUAAUGCGGAGGAAGGUGGGGAUGACGUCAAGUCCUCAUGGCCCUUAUAUCCAGGGCUACACACGUGCUACAAUGGACGGUACAAAGGGUCGCGAACCUGUAAGGGGGAGCUAACCCCAGAAAACCGCUCUCAGUUCGGAUUGGAGUGUGCAACCCGACUCCAUGAAGUGGGAAUCGCUAGUAAUCGCGGAUCAGAACGCCGCGGUGAAUACGAAACCGGGCCUUGUACUCGCCGCCCGUCA